GGGGAUGUGGCGGAAUAGGCAGACGCAACGGACUUAAAAUCCGUUGAUGGUAACAUCGUAUGGGUUCAAGUCCCAUCAUCCCCACCA
rnacentral:tRNA from 1 species